GGCCCGAUAGCUCAGUCGGUAGAGCAAAGGACUGAAAAUCCUUGUGUCGGCAGUUCGAUUCUGCCUCGCGCCACCA
rnacentral:tRNA from 1 species